UACGUAGGGGGCUAGCGUUGUCCGGAAUCAUUGGGCGUAAAGCGCGUGUAGGCGGCCCGGUAAGUCCGCUGCGAAAGUCGGGGGCUCAACCCUCGGAAGCCGGUGGAUACUGUCGGGCUCGAGUACGGAAGAGGCGAAUGGAAUUCCCGGUGUAGCGGUGAAAUGCGCAGAUAUCGGGAAGAACACCCGUGGCGAAGGCGGUUCUCUGGGACGGUACUGACGCUGAGACGCGAAAGCGUGGGGAGCGAACAGG
rnacentral:rRNA from 1 species